GAUGAACGCUGGCGGCGUGCCUAAUACAUGCAAGUCGAGCGAACAGACGAGGAGCUUGCUCCUCUGACGUUAGCGGCGGACGGGUGAGUAACACGUGGAUAACCUACCUAUAAGACUGGGAUAACUUCGGGAAACCGGAUCUUAUACCGGAUAAUAUAUUGCACCGCAUGGUUCAAUAGUGAAAUACGGUUUUUCUGUCACUUAUAGAUGGAUCCGCGCCGCAUUAGCUAGUUGGUAAGGUAACGGCUUAUCAAGGCGACGAUGCGUAUACGACCUGAGGGGGGGGUCGCCGACACUGGAGCUGAGACGCGGUCCAGGCUCCUACGGGAGGGAGCAGUAGGGAACCUGCCGCAAUGGGCGAGAGCCUGACGGAGCAAGGCCGCGUGAGUGAUGAAGGUCUUCGGAUCGUAAAACUGUGUUAUUAGGGAAGAACAAAUGUGUAAGUAACUAUGCACGUCUUGACGGUACCGAAUAAGAAAGCCACGGCUAACUACGUG
rnacentral:rRNA from 1 species